rnacentral:rRNA from 1 species
UGCGGAGGGAUCAUUACACAAUAUGAAAGCGGGUUGGGACCUCAUCUCGGUGGGGGCUCCAGCUUGUCUGAAUUAUUCACCCAUGUCUUUUGCGCACUUCUUGUUUCCUGGGCGGGUUCGCCCGCCACCCAGGACCCAACCAUAAACCUUUU